AGAAAUAAAUGAAAUUUAAGCAAAAUAAUGGGCGAAAUCGCGACACGCGAAUUACAUGGAGGGCCAAAUCGGAAAUAAUCCGCCUCCCCAAAACAGUGUCGUUUCGCUAGCAUGAUUUAAAACAGUUUUUAAAAAAAAAACAUUGUUUGCAGCAUAGAAAAAAAAGAAAACAAAAAAAAAACAAAGGCUCUCUACUAGGGUUUUUAACCCCAG
rnacentral:lncRNA from 1 species